UACAGAGGUGGCAAGCGUUGUUCGGAAUUACUGGGCGUAAAGGGCGCGUAGGCGGUCUUGUAAGUCUUGUGUGAAAUCCCUCGGCUUAACUGAGGAACUGCACGGGAUACUGCGAGACUUGAGAUCGGGAGAGGGAAGCGGAAUUCCGGGUGUAGCGGUGAAAUGCGUAGAUAUCCGGAGGAACACCAGUGGCGAAGGCGGCUUCCUGGCCUGUUCUUGACGCUGAGGCGCGAAAGCUAGGGGAGCAAACGGG
rnacentral:rRNA from 1 species